rnacentral:rRNA from 1 species
AAGUCGACGGCAGCGCGGGGCAACCUGGCGGCGAGUGGCGAACGGGUGAGUAAUAUAUCGGAACGUGCCCUGGAGUGGGGGAUAACGCGGCGAAAGUUGCGCUAAUACCGCAUACGAUCUAAGGAUGAAAGCGGGGGAUUCGCAAGAACCUCGUGCUCCUGGAGUGGCCGAUAUCUGAUUAGCUAGUUGGUGGGGUAAAGGCCUACCAAGGCAUCGAUCAGUAGCUGGUCUGAGAGGACGACCAGCCACACUGGAACUGAGACACGGUCCAGACUCCUACGGGAGGCAGCAGUGGGGAAUUUUGGACAAUGGGCGCAAGCCUGAUCCAGCAAUGCCGCGUGAGUGAAGAAGGCCUUCGGGUUGUAAAGCUCUUUUGUCAGGGAAGAAACGGUUGAGGCUAAUAUCCUUUACUAAUGACGGUACCUGAAGAAUAAGCACCGGCUAACUACGUGCCAGCAGCCGCGGUAAUACGUAGGGUGCAAGCGUUAAUCGGAAUUACUGGGCGUAAAGCGUGCGCAGGCGGUUUUGUAAGUUUGUCGUGAAAUCCCCGGGCUCAACCUGGGAAUUGCGAUGAAGACUGCAAGGCUAGAAUCUGGCAGAGGGGGGUAGAAUUCCACGUGUAGCAGUGAAAUGCGUAGAGAUGUGGAGGAACACCGAUGGCGAAGGCAGCCCCCUGGGUCAAGAUUGACGCUCAUGCACGAAAGCGUGG